rnacentral:lncRNA from 1 species
GAUCAGUGAUUCUUUAAUAUGAUAGGUUAGAUCUAAAGGUAUUAACCAAUCAUAUUAAAGAAUCACUGAGCGCUCACUCAACAGUUGUGUCUGCUGAACGCGGCUAUUAUUUGUCCUUGUUUAAUAUCUGAUAAUAAAGAUGAAAUAAUGCCCACAGUGCUGCGGGUGUCAAAGAGAAUGUAGCCUUUAUCGCACAAAAAUAAAAGCAUAAAGGAUCUGCAGAAAGUAUAUAGAAAUCCAAUCUCAAUAAAUUUGUUUGCCAAAUAAGGAAACGCUUUUGUCUACUAAAAAUUUAGGCUAUUUUCAAACCGUUGGAAAAAUUAUCGCGGGAACAAAAUCCAAAAGUUUUAGAGCUUGAAACUUCUUCUUUCAAAUGCUUUUUGGCGAUUUCAGUUAUCUUCUUUUUUAUCAACAUGUGGUUAUUCAUUGCUAUGCAAUUUUUUUGACCGAGUUAUUGAGAUUUUAAGAAAAAUUAGUCAUUUUGACUUUCAUCGCUUAUUACUCGUGAAUAGAUCAACGUACAGUUCUAAACAAAAACAAAAACAAAAAAAAACAAUAAAAAGCUGAAAGUCUAUACUUUUGAAUACUAAUUGAUAAAUUAGGAGAAGCGCUUUGACGAAAUUCCGCAGGAUAUUAUUAAGAGGUGCAUAAACAUAUGAGAACAUUUACAAGUAGUAAUUGAUCAACGAACGUAAGUGUUUAUUACUAGAGAGUAAUCGUACUACAAAACUUUGCUUUAGCAAUGUGAUUGGAACUUUGUUCACGACAAUAUAUUAAAUUAAUCCUUUGAGUCACAACGAGACUCUGGAAUUCCACUUAUUUCAAAUUACUUUUUUAAUUAUUUAGGAAACCUGAACUAAAACCUGAAUUUUUGUUUUUUGGUGGAUUUUGAUCUCAUCAAUAUCUUUAUUAACACUAAAGUGCAUGUUAUAUUCAUGAAUUAUUUAUAAAAUUAUUUAUAUUGUUAAUUAACAAAAAAAUGCUUUUUUUUAUAGGAAAAAUUUAUGUCAGAACGAACAUUACGUAAUAUUAAUGUGAUAAUUGUAAUCCAGGGGUUUUUGGGGGUUACUGAUUACAAAUCUGACAUCAGAAUUUUAAAAUUCAAAAUGGCAAAUCCAACAUGGCGAACCAAAAUUUUUAAUUUUGUAUAUUUGAAUAAUAAUUUUAAUUCAGGAAUGUAUAGGGUAAUAACUACAAACCUUACAUUAGUGUUUAACUUAUUAAUUUAUAUUAUAGAGGGUGUUAAAAAAGGGUCAAUUUUUGCCCAUCACAUGCAACCUAUACAAACCUCAUUUUUCUGUUCUAUGGAUCACAUGUGUUGUAAAAACAAUAUAAAUGUUUAUUAUAGUUGGAACAUUUUAGAAUUCACUCGGAUUUAGAGUAAAGUGGUUCGUAUUAAAAUAAACAUCCUAUAGUGUGCUGCGUAAAGAGCGACGACACCGCAAUUCGUCACAUCUGCAUUAUUUUACGACUCAAAACUGCCUCUUUAUGUAUAUACGACUAUCUAGGUGUCAUUUAAAUAUUAUCUAGAUAUUGUCUCAAAAACUCCUAAAAACUAAUAUAUAUUAAUAAUAAAGAAUUUAAAAAAAAACAUUUAGCAUGCUAUAUUAGAUCUGCCAUUUUAAGUUUUAAAUAUUUUUAAUCAGAUUUGUAAUCAGGAACCCAAAGAACCCUUAUACACCAAAUGUUAACAAAAGCAAUAAACUUGGAAACUUUACGAUUCUCCAUGUUGGAUUCACCAGAAUUUUAAAAUUCUGAUGUAAGUAGAGCAAUAA